rnacentral:rRNA from 1 species
UACAGAGGGUGCAAGCGUUAUUCGGAAUUACUGGGCGUAAAGCGCGCGUAGGCGGAUUAUUAAGUCAGUUGUGAAAGCCCUGGGCUCAACCUAGGAAUGGCGAUUGAAACUGGUAGUCUAGAGUUUAGUAGAGGGAAGGGGAAUUUCUGGAGUAGCAGUGAAAUGCGUAGAUAUCAGAAGGAACAUCAGUGGCGAAGGCGCCUUCCUGGACUAGAACUGACGCUGAGGUGCGAAAGCGUGGGGAGCAAACGGGAUUAGAUACCCCGGUAGUCCACGCCCUAAACGAUGUCAACUAGCUGUUGGUCUUAUUAAAAAGAUUAGUAGCGCAGCUAACGCGAUAAGUUGACCGCCUGGGGAGUACGGUCGCAAGAUUAAA